rnacentral:ncRNA from 1 species
GAUAUAGAGGCGCGGUUUAUAAGAGUAGCCGCUCCGGGAUCCUCAAAGAUCGACGCGGAGUGUGUGAAAGGGCGAACCGCCGAAAUGGUUUUUCGUUUGAGGGAAGAAUCGUUGGGCGUAGGGACAAUAUCCAUACGACUGUCGCAUUUGCGGAGUGCUAU